rnacentral:rRNA from 1 species
GACGAACGCUGGCGGCGUGCUUAACACAUGCAAGUCGAACGGAAAGGCCCUGCUCUUGCUGGUCUCUCGAGUGGCGAACGGGUGAGUAACACGUGUGUAUCCUGCCCUUGUCUUUCGGAGAUCUUCACGAAACACCGGCUAUUACCGCAUAUGAGCUCCUGCACCAUGUGGUUGGUUGGAAAGUGUCGGCGGUUGUGGAUGGACUCGAUGCUUAUCAGCUUCUUGGUGGGGUAGUGGCUUACCAAGGCUUUGACGGGUAGCCGGCCUGAGAGGGUGACCGGCGACAUUGGGACUGAGAUACGGCCCAGACUGCUACGGGAGGCAGCAGUGGGGAAUAUUGCACAAUGGGCGGAAGCCUGAUGCAGAAACGCCGCGUGCGGGAUGACGGCCUUCGGGUGGUAAACCGCUUUCGCAUGUGACGAAGCGUGAGUGACGGUAAUGGGUAAAGAAGCACCGGCUAACUACGUG